rnacentral:lncRNA from 1 species
ACGAAUAUGUUGCAUUGCAUUGUUAUUUGAUGAUGUGAGUAAAUGCUGAAUGAUCCAAUAGUCACAGACAGGAAGACCAGGAGCCUUUGACUACGCCCUGGCACGUAUAGCAAAGACCAGGAGCCUUUGACUACGCCCUGGCAGGUAUAUAGCAAAGUCCAGGAGCCUUUGACUACGCCCUGGCAAUGGUAAGUUCACAGGUGUUAUAUACACAUAUACAUAUAUGACAGGAAGACCAGGUGCUCGAUUCUACGCCCUGGCACAGAGUUACUGGG